rnacentral:rRNA from 1 species
AGGAUGUUGGGUUAAGUCCCGCAACGAGCGCAACCCCUACGUUUAGUUGCUAACGCGUGAAGGCGAGCACUCUAGACGAACUGCCGUUGACAAAACGGAGGAAGGUGGGAUGACGUCAAAUCAUCAUGCCCCUUAUGUUCUGGGCUACACACGUGCUACAAUGGCCGGUACAGACGGACGCAAAGCCGCGAGGCGGAGCAAAUCCGAAAAAGCCGGUCUCAGUUCGGAUUGCAGGCUGCAAUUCGCCUGCAUGAAGUCGGAAUCGCUAGUAAUCGCAGGUCAGCAUACUGCGGUGAAUACGUUCCCGGGCCUU